rnacentral:rRNA from 1 species
GGCUCAGAGUGAACGCUGGCGGUAGGCCUAACACAUGCAAGUCGAACGGCAGCACAGGAGAGCUUGCUCUCUGGGUGGCGAGUGGCGGACGGGUGAGGAAUACAUCGGAAUCUACUUUUUCGUGGGGGAUAACGUAGGGAAACUUACGCUAAUACCGCAUACGACCUACGGGUGAAAGCAGGGGAUCUUCGGACCUUGCGCGAUUGAAUGAGCCGAUGUCGGAUUAGCUAGUUGGCGGGGUAAAGGCCCACCAAGGCGACGAUCCGUAGCUGGUCUGAGAGGAUGAUCAGCCACACUGGAACUGAGACACGGUCCAGACUCCUACGGGAGGCAGCAGUGGGGAAUAUUGGACAAUGGGCGCAAGCCUGAUCCAGCCAUACCGCGUGGGUGAAGAAGGCCUUCGGGUUGUAAAGCCCUUUUGUUGGGAAAGAAAUCCAGCUGGUUAAUACCCGGUUGGGAUGACGGUACCCAAAG